UGGGGAAUAUUGCACAAUGGGCGCAAGCCUGAUGCAGCCAUGCCGCGUGUAUGAAGAAGGCCUUCGGGUUGUAAAGUACUUUCAGCGGGGAGGAAGGGAGUAAAGUUAAUACCUUUGCUCAUUGACGUUACCCGCAGAAGAAGCACCGGCUAACUCCGUGCCAGCAGCCGCGGUAAUACGGAGGGUGCAAGCGUUAAUCGGAAUUACUGGGCGUAAAGCGCACGCAGGCGGUUUGUUAAGUCAGAUGUGAAAUCCCCGGGCUCAACCUGGGAACUGCAUCUGAUACUGGCAAGCUAGAGUCUCGUAGAGGGGGGUAGAAUUCCAGGUGUAGCGGUGAAAUGCGUAGAGAUCUGGAGGAAUACCGGUGGCGAAGGCGGCCCCCUGGACGAAGACGGACGCUCAGGUGCGAAAGCGUGGGGAGCAAACGGG
rnacentral:rRNA from 1 species